rnacentral:misc_RNA from 1 species
AAAAACCUCAGCUGCCUUGACAAGUGUUAGCACAAUCCCAGGAGCUCCAUGGCACCAAUGCACAAGUAAAUCUCUCCUCCUAUCAUUUUCACUUGCAGGGUAAUUUCCGCUGGGAAACCGAUUCUUUACCAUGUACUUUAAUGUCCCUUUGACAUCUUCAAGAUCAUCGGGUUUCAGUUCAAAGUCCAUCAGAACAUGCAUAAUUCCAGCCAAUCCAUGAGCUGCACCCCAGUACAUCUCACCAUACCAUUCAUGCAUCAAUGGGCUUCUGCCCUUUCCG